AUUGAUCAUGGCAAACGCUUGGUUCAUGAUGAUACGGACAAAGCCAUCGUGCUUAUUCAACAAAAUCUGACUCCCGUUUGCAAAGCGCUUCAUAAGUGAGAUGAGAUCAAAUUACUACUUGGAGACUAUAAAUCUCUUGGGUUCCAAGCGAAGCCGAGAAAGAUGUUCUUAUUGCUAUCUAAUGCAGCAUAUAUCUGUGUGGUGUUUGCACAUUGGGAGAACAAAAUAACAAUCGGUUUAAUAUGACGGUCUCCACUAAGAGAAAAAACUAAGGGUGGCAGAAUUGUUGGUGAAUAUUAAAAGGCAUGUUCUAGUUCCUGAGCAUCGGGUUCUUACAAAUGAGGAAAAAAAGACUUUGCUGGAGAGGUACAAUGUGAAAGAAACUCAGCUUCCUCGUAUUCAGCUGAUUGAUCCAAUUGCAAGUUAUUACGGGCUUAAGUGUGGACAAGUUGUGAAGAUAAUCCGGCCGAGUGAGAAUGCAGGAUGAUAUGUUACCUACCGUUACGUUAUCUAAGUGCUUUUAUUGUAAGCUGAAACCUGGAUUGCAUUAAUCUUAUUUAUAAUUGUCGUGAUGGAAGGUUAGCUCAGAAAUGAACAUUGCAGUUAGGAUUUUGCGAAGAUCUCCAUUAGUGAAAUGGGUUCAAAAUGCCUCUUGGAGAAUUGAAGGAGUGGAGGGUGGAAGCCAUGCCUAGUCUUCAGAGAUUGCGCAUUUAAUGGUGCGAACAAUUGCGGGCAGUUCCAGAUGGGCUUCAGCCUUCAGGAGAUUACUACCCUACAGAUGAUGAGCGGGAAAUGGAGGAAGCUGCUGGUGUGUCUCAAGUAGUUGUGGGGCUGGUGACUCAUCAAGAAUCAAAUGUGGGCAGUAUGUGACUAAUUGAUUCAAUCCCGUUUUAUCAUACCAUAACCUUGCAUUUUUUAUUUUAUUUUAUUUUGAUAUUGUGAUCAAAUUAAGAUAUUAUUUACUAAAGUUUUUACUGAUCACUUUUCUAACGUUUAUUAAUGUAUUUCUGCUGGUAUUUCUUGAUUAUGACGAGCUCCUCCUCCUCCUCCUGAUGAAAAAACAGAGGAAACACAAGCUGCUUCCACUCCUUGUUGAAAUCAACUAGUUCGUUCUAUAAACCAAGCAGCGCUUGGGUACUUUUGGCAGCCUGUUUUUUAUUGGCUAUUUGCUAUUGUGAGAUUGUGCACUGAACAGUGAACACUAAAAUUGGCCCACAUGUUAUGGCCUUUUCUCACAUAAGGUAGCCCAUUCUAUGUUCUUUGGGCGUUUUCAAAUAGACAAUCCCAUAGGACCCGCCUUUAAUUCUUCCUCACCCUAAUUAAUUCUCCAUUCCCUCUCUUUCUUCUGAGCGCUGCUGUGAGUUGUGUCUCCUCCUUCCUCAAUCUUCAACCCCGAGUCUCCCUCAUCACUUCACACAGAUUAGUCACACAGGUUUUAUAAUCUUUCAGCUAAAUGAUGGAUUGAACUGAAGAAGAAAGUACGAGGCUUUUUAGAGCUAGAAAAACAGUGAUAUAUGCAAAUGCUGAAAGAUCGGGACUACAUAAUUUCAGAUUGUGAUAUCAACAUUACAUUGCCACUGUUCAAGAACAAAUAUGGAGAGAAAUGAAAAGGGAAGACCUUACUAUGAAUAGAAGGAAGCGAGGUCGCAACUCUGAUCAGAUUUAUGUGUUUUUCCCUAAAGAACCAACAGUUGGGGUCAAGACAAUCAAGAAUUACAUCAAACGCUUGGUUCAGGAGGAUACGGACAAAGGCAUCGUGGAUUUCAACAAAAUCUGACUCCUUUUGCCAAACUCUUCAUAAGUAAGAAAAUUUCAGGAGGCAAAAUUGUUGGUUCAAAAGCAUAUUCUAGUUCCAGAGUAUCGGGAGGUUAAAAAUGAUGUAAAGAAGACUUUGUUGGAGAGGGAAGAAACACAGGGGUGAGCAUAAGACUAUCUUUGCUAGAAAAAUUUCAACAAGCUUGACUGGAACACUCAAAAUGUCACGAAGUUUGAGGCUUACCAAGAUUAGUACGACAAGUCUUUUUUUUUUUUGGUCUAAGUACAACACAUAUCAUAACUGCCAUUUUACCUAAAACUCCAACAGUAGUGUUUAAUUUGAUAUCUUGAUGCCAUUUUCUGAUCCAAAAUAAAAGCUCUAGUUGCUAUGGAAACUGAGUGUAGCCCUUACAUUUGAAGUCAAUAGAGGGUAAUCAAAUGAGAUCUUGGAAGAAGUCGCAGUUCGUGUACCAUAUCAUACAAGUUAUACUCAUUCUUUAAUGUACAAAUGAAAUCCCAAGAUUUUAUCGGAUGCUUAUAUAUUUUUAAUUUGAGUGUAUUUAUUUCUUA